CCUGGGAUGGACAAAAAUGGGAGGGAAGGCUGGGACAAGAUAGGUGCUUAUUCCACUCUUGCAACUGCUUUUACACAGUCUGCAAAACUAAUGCUGCCACUAACCUCAGUAUUUUGUUCCACCUUUCCUGUCAGUUAGAAGUGAUCUGCCUAAGCAAUUCCUAGACAAGUUCUUCCCACAGUUCUCUCCCAACUAAUUAAAUUCUACUUCUCUACCACAGGUUUGAUUUGAUAUGAGAUGGCAUGUAAAUUACUGGCAUUUUUAAGACAAAAUAUCAAAGCCUUCAAGCCAUUAAGCAUUUCUUUUACUAUCAGAACACCACAUAUUAGCUGAUGUGUUUGACAUCUUAGAACUCAUGAAAUUAAAACAUUUUAAGUUUUUUCACACAGGUUAACCUUCUGAGUAUUUAAUUUUUGAAUAUAAAUUCAUUUUUUACAGAUUGAUGCUUCCCUCAGAUUUGAAUCUAUUCAGAUAAUUUCCUAACAUUUUCCUUCAUCCUUGUUUAUUACAUAAAAGAUUGUUUUAUUGCAACAACCUCCACAUUCCUCAUUUGAGUAUUACAUUUCAGUGAUCAUAAAUAAAGACUACAACAUGCAUAUGAUAAUUUGAAUGUGACAAUUUGCAAUAUACAUGAAAAUCUUUCUUUGCAGGGUGGUGAAACACACAAACCAGGAUAUGGAAGCGGAAAAUUCUAUGAGCAUAAAUCUGCUCAUAAGGGACACAAGGGAUCCUAUCAUGAGGGCCAGGGCACUCUUUCCAGAAUCUUUAAACUGGGAAGCUCUGGGUCCCGACCUGGAUCGCGGUCUGGUUCCCCCAUUGCUAGGCGCUGAAGCUCCAAGAUGCCAUCCAAGGAUCAUGUACUCUGCUUCAUAAUAUAACUGCCUUAAAAUUAGUAACAGCUGCCACAAUUACCUAGAUAGAUGCAAUCCAUUACUUAAUGCCAAUUAGUAGUAAUACCAUGCAGUAGAUGAUACAAACUUCUAUUGGCAAUCCCUGAGCAACAGUUGAAUGAAAGGAACACAAAAAGUAGCUUUGCUAGAUGUUUUCCUUAUUUUAUGUGAAGUAACAAGAUCUCUGACUUUACCCCUUCUUCUUCAGGAUGCCCUAACUGUAUGCUGGACUCCUUUAUUUCUCCCAAGCAGCUAAUUUAAGCUCAACCCUUCUGGUUUCAUUUUAGUGAACAUCAGAAUUACAAAUAAAGAGCUAUAAUGCCUUGGAUACUGAGCACUGCUGUUAAUGAAUUUUUGAGACACUGCUGUUAAAAACAAAACAAAAAAAAAAUCCAACAUGUGCAGAAGUUGUAAGGACUGUUUAUCCAAAUUUUCUUUUUAGUUUUUUUUUCUUUUGUUUUGUUUUAAUCUUCCUUCUCUCACUCACAGAAUAAUUUAUUUUCAUAACAGGAUUAGGCAGUCAUGGAAAGGUUUAUCAAACAUUGGGAGUUCAAGGUAUGUGAAGUGUGGGAGGGGGCAGAUGUUGAAGAAUCAAUAUGAUGUGGAGCAAUAGCAAUAAGGAAAUUCUUUCCAUACUAUGAUUUGCUCAUUGCAUCCAAACCAUGAGAAUAAAGAGUAGAUGAGGGAGAGAAAGAGGAUUUCAAAUUUGAGUUAGACUAAUGUUACAAAACAAGGGAUAUUCCCAGAGAAACAUCUAAGACUGCACACGUGACCACUGGACGUCACUGGUGCUUCACAUAAACUCUGCUGCAAUAGCAUUAACUUUGCAGUACAAUAAGUAAAUAAGCAUAUAAACAAAAAAGUCUAAUUUCUGAAAGAAAGCCCUUCAGUACUGGUAUCUCAGAUAGUCCUGCACAUCUCACAUUAGAAUUUCAAAUCUUUCUCUUGGUAUUGCAGCAGUGUUGUAUUUGAUUGGCUCAUCUUUUGCCUGAGUAACACCUGGAUGCCUUUUAAGGGCAGUGCACCAAAGCAAACUUGUAGUAAACUACUGUGAACAUUUAACUGUUGUAUUGUAGUUGCCUCGUAGAAAUAGAUUAUAGUUCAGUUAGAUUUAGAUAUGAAUUGUUCACAAAUUACUAAAAUGAAUGUGUGGAUAUGGUAUUUCCAACCACACUUUGGGAAAUAAAAGGCUCUUCUGAAUUGCACUGUUUUAUUACUUAAACUUACAAUUUCUUCAACCUGUCAUCUAAGUGUCAGAUUAAUUAUUUUAUUUUUUUAGUUUUAGCCUAUGCACUGUAGAUUACAGUUAGUGCUUCCUAGGUUGAAACAGCAUUCCUAAUAAGUGCCCAGUAAAAGUUACCUAUAAAUAUAUGUUAUUUACAUUUCACAUCUAGAACUAUUGUAGGUUUAAAUCAGUGUCCAUUAAUAUGAAGCAAUGGAAGAUGAGAUGAUAGAAAAUACAUAGAGACUAAAGAAAACAAAACUGCCAAAAUUAUUAUGCAUACACACACUAUUACAUCUAUUACCUUUGUUGGUUGCUAUGUGUAUUUUUCUAUUGUAGCUUCAUUCAGAUGUAUACUCUGCAACGUAAUAGUUGAUUUAAUUUGAACACGUAUUGUUCUUAGAGGAACACAGCUUUUAAAAAUAGUCACUAUUGAAAUAAAGUAAUCAACUUGAAAUGAAACUUGGGCCAGUUUUGUUU
ensembl:lncRNA